rnacentral:lncRNA from 1 species
GAGUAUCGGUCCCGGGUUUAAACCAAGUCACCUGGAAGCGUUUUGACUCUGCAGUUGCCUGGGCUUCAGUGUCAGGGCUCUGAUGGGCAGAGGUGCCCAUGAAGGGCCUGAGCAGGAACUGGUGGUAAAGAUUUUGAUGAAGGGCAAGUUUUCGUCUGGCUGGAAGGGAUUUGUGGAAAGAGGAGAAAGGAGAAAAAGACAAAGGCAACACAGAGAGAAGAGACCCUCUACAUGGGGAAAUGGAGAGAGAAAGGAAUGGAGCUUCCAGAAGCUGAGGUUGUGAGAGACAAAGACAGAGCACAUGCAAGUUCCUGGGCUAGGGAUCAAAGUUGUGCCACAGCAGCGUCCGGAGCCACAGCGCUGACAAUGCCAGAUCCUUAACUUGCUGAGCCACAAGGAAACUCCUAAUGCAGGAGUUUUCAGAAAAGAAAAUUGAGACGAGCUCUAAUCGAUGAGAAGGACCGUGCUAUGCUAAAAUGAAAUGGAAGAGGACUCCACGUCACGGGAAGAAUGAGACCAAAGGCCCUGCUGUACGAAUACAUUUGGAGCGUCCCGGGAACAGAACACAGAUCACGUGGAGUGAUGCUGAGUCCACAUCUGCAACUUCCUCCAAUAUCCGAGGAUCUAAUACAGAUCAGCCUGGAGACAGGAAUGCAUUUUCAAUGAGUGGCUCUUCAGCCUGGCCAUCCCAGCAAAAGAAAAAAGAAUCUCUUCUCUAAUAACACCAGCAAAAAUCAUUCCUUCGCAAGAUAUGGUGUUCUCUUUGGCCAAGUGUGGGGUACAUGCCCCGCCUAAGCCAUAUGGCCUGUAAUGGAAAAGGUGGUUCCUCAAGGGAAGAUGAAUCAGAGUUCUGUUAUGACAGAGAGAUUGGAUAUUAGGCUGGUGCCUGGAACAGUGAGCAGCUCCUUUGGACAGGGCGUGAGUGAUGGGCGCUGAGAACACAGGACCGUUUGUCGGAAUCAGGCCUCCCGUCAGAAAUGCAGGAGACUGAAAAUCAUGCCUCAGCUUCACCGCAGCUGACAUCCAUGAGAUGGAACCCUCCGCCAACCCAACCCGCAGAAGACAGCGGGGCGGACCCUGUGCGUGUGUCUCACCUGCAACCAAUCCCAGUAAAUUUCAGCUGUGGGGCACUUAAGAGAGCAGCCCCUGAGCUUCUAAUCCAGCGCCAACCCUAAAUCAGCCUGUGCAGGCCUUCGGCAGAGGCAGCCACCCGUCCUGGCAUCAUUUCACCCUCACAGCAGCUCCAUGAUGAUUCCUAUUUUACGGAUGAGGAAACUGAGGAUUUGAGAGGUGAAGUGAGCUGUUGCCUUGGAUCUACUCACCAAGUGACAGGGCCAGGAUUCAAGCCCAGCUUCUCUCCAAAGCAACUCCAAACUACCCAGAGAGACCCAGGAGGAAGAAUGGAUCUUUUCUUCUCUACGUGUGACCCCAAGCACAGGGCAGCCAGAGGGCUCACUGACAUGAUGUCUUAAUCGAGGUAAGCCUUGGCUUUCCUGGGCUAAUGAACCCACACAGCUGCAGAGGUGCACGCAUGCCCUGAGCUAGUUUAAGCUACACACCCAUUCUGCUGUACCUGCUGCUCCUCUGCCUAAAAUAUCCUCCCUGUGGUUGUCUCCUGGAUAACUCCUACGUAGUUCAAAGCCCCCCUCUAAUACCUGUCUUCUUGCGGGCUGAUCCAAUUGCCCUAUUUUGUACUCUUAAGGGUAUCCUGGCUCUUCCGUUAUCCAUCUCUUUGAAAUUAUUGCCUGUGCACCUCCCUAGACAAAGAGCACCUUGAAGCCAAGAACUGGGUCUUAGGUCUCUUUGAAUCUCCAUACAAAAUGCCCCACACAACACUUGAUGCAAAUAGAAGUCAGUCACCUGCAAAUAUGGAAAAUACAACCCCUUGUCCCAACUCUCAGUGGAAACCAGCUAAGCGCAUGAGUGAGUCCCAUUGCACAGUCAGUCUGAAUGGAGCCUCCAGGGUUUUUUUUUUGCUGAGAUGACAAACGGUGGCAGAUGUAUUAAGGGCAGAUCAUUAGCAAGAGCUUCCCUCCUUUCCUGAGGCUUGUCUUCCUUUUUACCCCUGAAGGCCUAGCAUUUUAACAUAUCCAGACAUUAACUACUUUCCUCCACCUCUGCUACCACUACAGCUGGUCUACGCCAACAUCAUCUCUUGCUUGGAUUAUUGCAACAGCAUCCUAGGUGGUCUCCCUGCUUUACCUUUCCCAGGGUGCAGUCCCAUCUCCCUGGAUCUGAAAGCUAAAAUCUUUUCAGGUAUAUUCAGUGCCCUGCAGGAUCUGGCCCCUGUGAGCUCUGUGACUCCACCUCCUACCCAGCUACUUGGUUGUCCUCACUGUCUCUCAGGCACCAGGUCCUCUCCCACCCCAGGACCUGGACUGUCCCUCCCUUGCCUAGGACCCUCCUGCCCCACUGUCAUCAGCACCCUGUCCUUUCCUUCCUCUGCUCUGACCCCCUCAGUCAGGCAUCAUGCCUGGCCAAAUCCCCCAAACAUUACCACCUCCGACUCUUGCGCCGAUGUUUCCUCUUGGGCUCUCUGCUUUAUUUUUUACUUAGUCCCUGAUGCUAACUAGAAUACCACAUGCUUUACUACUGAUCGUGGUGUUUAUUUUCUCUCUUCCCAAAGGCAGUGAACUAGAACUGCUUGGGUCAUUUCUGUAUCCUCCAAACCCAGAACUCUGUCUGGUACAGUGGCGGCGAUGAGUAUUGGUUGAAUGAAUGAGUUCUGAUUCAAGGCUGACCUCAUAUCUCCUGGGUAAAAAGGGAUAGGUCUAGGGAGUUCCUGCUGAGGCACAGUGCAUUAUGAUCCAGUUUAUCUCUGUGGAGGCACCAGUUCAAUCCCCGGCCUGGCACAGUGGGUUAAGGAUCUGGAGUUGCUGCCCCUGUGGUGGAGGUCGCAGCUCCAGCUCCGGUUUGAUCCCUGGCCAGGGAACUUUCAUGUGCUGGGGGGAAAAAAAGGUGGGGGGAGGAUGGUUCUAGGAGUUCUCGUGCAGUGCAGUAAGUGAAAGAUCUGCACCACAAGAGAACUUCAAUUGAUUGCAGGUUUGAUCCCUGGCCUGGGAACUUCCACAUGCUGCUAGCCAGCCAAAAAAAAAAAAAAAAAAAAAAAA